rnacentral:tRNA from 1 species
GGGGACGUAGCUCAGUUGGCUAGAGCGCCUGCUUUGCACGCAGGAGGGCGAGGGUUCGAGUCCCUUCGUCUCCA